rnacentral:rRNA from 1 species
GGGGAAUAUUGCACAAUGGGCGCAAGCCUGAUGCAGCAACGCCGCGUGAGUGAAGAAGGCCUUCGGGUCGUAAAGCUCUGUCCUUUGGGACGAAGAAAGUGACGGUACCAGAGGAGGAAGCCCCGGCUAACUACGUGCCAGCAGCCGCGGUAAUACGUAGGGGGCAAGCGUUAUCCGGAAUCACUGGGCGUAAAGGGUGCGUAGGCGGUUUUUCAAGUCAGAAGUGAAAGGCAGUGGCUUAACCAUUGUAAGCUUUUGAAACUGAAGAACUUGAGUGCAGGAGAGGUAAGUGGAAUUCCUAGUGCAGCGGUGAAAUGCGUAGAUAUUAGGAGGAACACCAGUGGCGAAGGCGACUUACUGGACUGUAACUGACGCUGAGGCACGAAAGCGUGGGGAGCGAAC